rnacentral:antisense_RNA from 1 species
CUUGAUCGACCCCAACCACAACGGCGCACUGCGAUCUUGCCCAUAAGUGGCCAACAACGCCUGCGCCUC